rnacentral:tRNA from 1 species
GUACCCGUAGCUCAGCUGGAUAGAGCACAAGCCUCCGACGCUUGGUGCCGUUGGUUCAAAUCCAAUCGGGUACACCA